CCUACGGGAGGCAGCAGUGGGGAAUAUUGGACAAUGGGCGCAAGCCUGAUCCAGCCAUGCCGCGUGUGUGAAGAAGGCCUUCGGGUUGUAAAGCACUUUCAGCGAGGAGGAAAGGUUAGUAGUUAAUAACUGCUAGCUGUGACGUUACUCGCAGAAGAAGCACCGGCUAACUCCGUGCCAGCAGCCGCGGUAAU
rnacentral:rRNA from 1 species